UUAAAGCCAGUGGAAGACCUUUGGCGUAAUCUACAGCACGCACAGACACAUCUUCAAAACCUGUUUUAGGAUAACUUUGUUUGAAGGCAUUCCAACAAAAUAGCUCUAAAGAAUGUUGGUCAUCAAGUUCCUUCAUUUCAUACUUAAGUUUAACUUGGUGAGCAAUUAGCACAUUUUCUUCCCUUGUCGUUAUAAUGAUCCUACUACCUGGACCAAACCAAUUGCACUCUCCUGCCAACUUUUCUAACUGGUCUUUAUCACCAACGUCAUCAAGAACCAAAAGAACUUUCUUUUUCUGAAGCUUUUCUUUUAUUUCACCCAUUCCUUUAAUUGUACUUCCCAAUUUAGUUUCCAACUCCUCAAACAUAUCAGAUAAAAGUGUCUUUUGUAGAUCUUCCAUGCCAUUGAUUCUGUUUGAUUUUUCUCUAACAUCGGAAAGAAAACUUGCAGCAUCAAAGUUUUGCACAAUUUUGUUAUACAAAGCUUUGGCAAGUUCCGUUUUUCCAAUUCCACCAAGUCCAUAUAUGCCCAACAUUCUUACAGUUUUAUCUUCAGCCUUCUUGUCCAAAAGUGACUUAACUUCUUCUAUGCAAGCCUCAAGUCCAACAGGGUUUUGACCACUAUAUAAAGGUUUAGGAGUUAUAUAUUCAUGGACCUUUCCAACAAUUUCUUCAAUACGAUAGCUUUCAUCAUCCCUAUAAGAGUAGAAUGUAUUAAUUAUUUGUUUGAUAUCAUGAUUUUUAAUUUAUUGUACUAAAUGAUAAGCAUUGUGAUUAUUGUACUAGAUAGUAAGCAUUGAUAUUAAGAACCAGUAGCACAAAAGAAUAAUGAUCACACAUCAUACAAAAUUUACUGGAGAUGAAAAAGUUAGAACAAUUUUAUUCUAAGAAAAAUACCUAAAUAUAAUAUCAAAUUAAAAUAAAAAUGGAUUUUGUUUUCCACUUUGAAAUUUUUAUUAGUUUUUUAUCUUUUAAAUUAUUUUUUAUAAUGUUCAAAAUUAUUAUUUAUGACUAACAAAAUCAAUUAACACCCUGGAAAAAUCUAAAAUUUAAAUGCAUAGUCGACCAUUUAACAUUUUUUAUAAAUUAUUAUAAUUAAGAUGUAGAAUGUUAUAUAUAACAAACUACAUAUGAUAAAAACAAUAUUACAUAUCCCAUUAUAAUUAAGAUGUAUAAUAUUAUACAUAACAAACUACACGUGAUAAAAACAAUAUUACAUACCAUAAAGUAUAUUACUUGAAAAAAAAUAUUUUUUUGAAAAGUAAAGUCCUACAUAACACCAACUUACUUUUGGUGUUUAACCUUUUAUAAAAGGCUAUAGUUAUUUUUUAACUAAAAUAAUUUAUUUUUGGAUGAGAGAAAAAAUGUUUUCUUUUAAAGUUUUCUUACCAAUUGUAUUUUUUUAAUAUAUAAGAGAAUAACGUGGUAGUUAUUGAGAAAAUAUUGUUAGAAUGUAAGGUGUUGAAUAAACGUAAUUGAUGGUGGAAGUAAGAAACAAGCAAUGGACAAAAAGACAAUCUAGAAUCUCUAAGCUAGGUGUGAAAGAACCCACUAAAUGGAAGUGUAGAGGCUAGGUGAUAGAAGGUUGGAUGUAGUAGUAGUAAGGAGUUCAUGGAAGAAUAGUGGUGUUGGUGGAUGUGGUAUACUCACUACGAAAACAACAUAUUAUCGACGGUCAAAAUCCAUAAAUAAUAAAUAAGACCAAAAAUUUGUCGAUACCUAUGAAAGAGCAACAAGCCAAAUUUCACCAAUAAUAUGCUUGUCGGUGAGUUUACCAAGAGAAAAAAUUAUUUAAGUAAUUAUUAAUAUUAUCAAUUAUUAUUUUUAAAAUACUAUUUAUCAUUAACAAAUUAUAUUAUUAUUUUCAAUUAUUAGAACACAUUACCAUUCUGAUUUUUAUUAUUCUUAUUAUUAAUAAUAAUAUAAAUAAUAAUAAUAUAUUAAAAAAUAUUAAUACUGAUAACACUAUUAUUAAUAUCAAUACAAAUAAUAUUAUUAUUAAUAUCAAUACAAAUAAUAAUAUUAUUAAUACUAAUACUAAUAAUAUUAACAAUAAUAAUAUUAUUAUUAUCAUUAAUAUUAUUAUAAUUAAUUAAUAAUAAUAUUAUUAUUAUUAAUUUUAUUAAUAUUAACAUUAGUAUUAUUAGAACUAAUAUUAUUAUUCAUCUUAUUAAUAUUAUAAUUAUUAAUAUAAUAUUAAUAAUAAUAUUAUUUUAAUUAUUAUUAUUAUUAAUAUAUUUAAUUUCUGUAGUCAUUAUUAAUUUUAUUAAUAUUAAUAUUAUUAGUAUUAUAUUUAUUAAUAUAAAUCUAAUAAGAAUAAUAAUAAUAGUAUUGGUAAUAAUUACAAUAAUCAUAAUAAUUAAUAUUAUAAUAUUAUUAAUAAAAUUAAUAAUAAUUACUAACUAUGCGUUCAAAUCCUAGUUUCAAGAUAAUAAUAUUGUAAUACUUUUUUCAUGUAAUAAUACAUAAUUAUUAUGUCAAAUUGCAAUGCCUAACAUAAAAUUUUCUAUAAUUUUUUUUAAUAAUAAUACUAAGUUAAUAUUAAUAAAAUUAAUAAUAAUUAUAAUAAUAUUAAUGAUGAUAAUAAUAACAUGGAUAAUAACAAGAAUAUUAAUAUUAAUAAUUAUAAUAUUAGUAAUAUGAAUAAUAAUUAUAAUAAUAUUAUUAAUAUUAAUAGUACUAAUAUUAUUAAUAAAAUUAACAAUAAUUACAGUAAUAUUGAUAUUAUUAGUAAUAAUAAAUACAGUAUUAUUAUUAUUAUUAUCAUUAAGAAUAAUAAUAACCAUAAUAAAACAAAAAAAUGAUUUUGAUUUAGUGGUUAUCAGCUGAGUGAAUCUGGACUAAACUGUGUCUUGUAGCAAAACAAAUUUUUUAUCAAACACAAAUAUGCCGGUAAAUGCGUCAAUAAUGUCAUAUGUCGGUAUAAUUUGUUGGUAAUAAAAAAUAUUGCCAAACAUAAAUUCAUCGGUAAUUCAAUAUUUUUUUUAAUAGGUGAUUUUAAGAAACAAGUUAAAAAGACGGAACUAGGAUUUAUAAUUUUAAAACAAAGAGGUAUGAAAUCAAAACAAGUAAAUCACUGUAACUCAUAUAGGUGAUUUGGAUAAAAUGGGAUUACUAAGUAAUCUAAAUGAGAAAGGAAUGAUGAAAGGGAAGAGGUUAUUUAGUGAACUUAUACGCGCUGGUAACAUAUAAGUCCUUGGAAAAAUAAAAGUCUCGAUCAAAAUGGAUUUAAUUUGGAGACUCAAACUCUAGGUAUUUUCAUGUUGUUACGGAUUGAAAAAUAAAUAGGAAUGAGAUUAAAAAGGUGUUGAAAACCUAGGGUAGUGGAGUGCAAACCCUAUCAUUGUUAAAAGCAAGGUAAAAGAGUUAUUCUAUGAGAGGCUAAUGUAGAUUACUAAAUUCAAUGUUAGGUUAAGGAAAAUUCUCUUCUAUUUCUAUUGGUGAUAAUAUAGUCUUUAACAUGUGGGUUUACGAAACUAGAAAUUAAGAAAACACUAGGCAAUGUAAGACUGAUUAAAGUCUGUGAGAUAACUAUAAAUUUGGCUUUACAAAGAAAUUAUGGGAGGUUGUAAAAGUGGAAAUCAUACAAUCUACCCACUCUUUUCAAAUUAGUGGGAAUAUUAUAAGGGAUGCAAAGUCUCUUUCAUAACACUUACACUCACUUAUACCUAAGGUAGACAAUUCAGGUAGUUUACAUGAAUUCAAAAUUGGUCUCCUUAGUUAGGUGUAGGUAAAUUGAACUUCCAAUAAUUCUACUUGUCGGAAAUGAAUGAUAAGGGAAAUAGGAUGUAAAUGUGUAUGUGGGUAGAGAUUAUUUUGAAUAUAUAGAAUCAUAGGAAUAAAAUUAUUUUUAAGAAUGACAUCGUAUAUGCAAAAGAGAUAUUUCUUUUGGCACAGACAAAAGUAUGAGCUUGGACAAGGAAUAAAUCUCUUAAUCAACUUUUACAUAUUCUUAUUGGUGUAUAUAUGCCCAACAACUUGCAUAAAAACCUAUCUAAAUAAUAUGGUAUACUCACUCAAAUGAAUAUAUACGAUUGCUAAUUGUAAGUUAUUUUCAGUUUGAGUCUUAUGAAUGAAGCAAUAAAGAUUGAGAUUUCUUGAGUACCAUACACAUCAACGAAUUAAAACCUUAUGUAUGCCAUAUGUAAAAAAAACUAGACAUUAAAGAAGGAGUGACAAUGAUUAGUAUAGGUUUAUGGUAAAUUCUUGUGGAGGGUAGUGAAGUGUUAUUAAGAAAAUCCUUAGAUACUUUAAAGCAACAUUAUACAUUGUAUUAUGAAGGAUGAGAAUUAUAUUUCAGAGAGUUAUAUUAUAUAUGAUUAAUUAUCCCAUAAAAUACAUGAUUUUUUCUAAAUAUGGGAUGAAAAAGAAAUAAGAUUGAAUGGUUUGUUAUACAUACCCGGUGGCAAUAUGCUUCCCUGGGAAGUCAACUGCUUGAGACAAGGCUGACCUCCAAUCCUGAAUUCUCUGUGAUUCAUGUGCCUUCAUGUGUUUUCCGAAGCUAUUUCUUUCGUGCCGUAUAUCUGAGGGAUCUACAUGGUAAAACACUGGGUAAACAAGCUGCUUCUUCUCCUUCAUCUUGCUGCGUUCUAUGAUCUUAACAAGUUCAUCCAGACACCGUGUGGAAGAUGCAUAGUUCUCAGAAAACACAACGAUGAAAAUCUUAGAUUCUUCAAUGGCCUUCGACAGAUCAGGUGGAAGACUUUCCCCUGUCCUCAUAUUCUUAUCAUCAUUGAAACUUUUUAUUCCCUUCCCAUCUAACUCUCUACGCAGAUGCCCUAUAAAAUUGUUCCUUGUAUCUUCUCCUCUAAAACUGAUGAACACAUCAUAGGUGAAACCAAGACGCUCUUCUUCCUCACCAUGUUCUCCCAUGCUACAAACACACCAAAACUACACUAUGGAUUCUCAACUACUUUCAUCAAUUUAGUGUGUUCUGAUUAAAUACACUUUCUUACGCGGAUACACGCUUUCCUGUCUCACUGAAUUAAGCUUCUAAAUUAUAGGGGUUGACCAAGAAUAAGACGAUGGGGAUAUAAUUAUUACAACUACCAAACAUAAUGGCUCGAUCUUGAAAAUAAAGAUGAUGGGAACAGAAAUAAUUCACGUGGUGCAUAUUUAAUGUGGUUUAAAUUGUACAGAAUUGGAUUUCUGUGUAUAAAAAUAUAGCGUUCAGAUUCAUGUGUAUUCAAUUUAAUUUAUAGUAUUGUUUUUCUAUACAUUGAAAGUUAGGUAAAGGAUAAAAUAUUCUAGAACGAAUUUAUUAAGUUUAAAAAAAACAAUUUAUUUAUUUAUGUUUAUUAUAUAUCUUUAGGCAUUGUUUAGACUAAUUUUAAUAUGUUUAGUUUUUUUUUUAUUUAUUCAUAUAUAUGCUGAUGUUUAUUUGUUACACAUUAAUAGUUGUUUUGUAAUUUAUUUAGUUAUUUUUUAUUUAUAUAUAUAUAUAUAUAUAUUUUAUAUAUAAAAUAGUGUAAAAAAACUCAUCAAAUAAAUCAACAAAUCUUGGAGUGGGAUAGAAAACUUUUUCUAUGUUAAAUGACUUCGAAGAAGGCGAUAUGAUAGUUUUUGAAACAGAGGUUAAAAUACCAAACAAUGAAAUUCGAGUUAUUCACCUUUUAGGAUGAGUUUUUUUUUUUAUAUAUAACUUUUUAUUCUCACUUAAUUUUCUCAAAAUUUGUGUUAGUUUGUUGAUACUUAAACAAUUUAUAUAUUUAAGUGUAUUGUUUAUGUUUAUGCAUUGUUUAUAUUAAUUUUAUUAUGUUUAGUUAUUUAUUUAUUCGUAUAUGCUCAUGCUUAUUUCUUAUAUAUUAAUAUUUGCUUUCUAAUUUUUUUUUUAAUUUUCUUAUUUACAUUUACAUAUAUAUAUAUAUAUAAUUAUGUAAAUUAUUUUUUUUAAUACAAAAUAAUGAAAGAAUACGCGUCAAAUGAAUCAACAAAACUUGGAGCGGGAUGAAAGAAUUUUCUGUAAGUUAAAUGACUCAAAGAAGACGAUAAGAUUGUUUUUGAAGCAGAUAUUAACCUACCAAAUAAUGAAAUUUGAGUUAUUAGUCUUUUAGGAUGAAUUUUUUUUUUACAUAAUUGUUUAUUUUUACUAACUUUCCUCAAAAUUUGUCUCAAUUUUUUGGUACUUGAACAACUUAUUUAUUUACGUGUAUUGUUUAUGUUUAUGUAUUGUUUAUAUUAAUUUUAUUAUGUUUAGUUGUUUAUUUAUUUGUAUAUGCUUAUGUUUAUUUCUGACAUAUUAAUAUUUUCUUUCUAAUUUUUUUGCAUUUUCUUAAUUACAUUUAUAUAUAUAAUUAUAUAAAUUAUAUUUUUAUAUAGAAUAGUGAAAAAAACGCGUCAAAUUAAUCAACAAAAUUUGGAGUGGGAUUGAAGAAUUUGGAUAAGAUUAAAGGAUUUCAAAGAAUAAAAUAAGAUUGUUUAACCUACCAAAUAAUGAAAUUUGAGUUAUUAGUAUUUUAGGAUGAUUUUUAUUUUUUACAUUAUUGUUUAUUGUUACUGAAUUUCCUCAAAAUUCGUGUAAGUUUGUUGAUACUUAAAAAAAUUAUUUAUUUCUGUGUAUGGUUUAUGUUUAUGUAUUGUUUAUAUUAAUUUUAUUAUGUUUAGUUGUUUAUUUAUCUGUAUAUGCUCAUGUUUAUUUCUUAUAUAUUAAUAUUUGCUUUCUAAUUAUUAUUUUUAUUUUCUUAUUUACAUUUAUAUAUAUAAUUAUAUAAAUUAUAUUUUUAUACAGAAUAGUGAAAGAAAAUACAUCAAAUAAAUCAACAAAAUGAAAAAAUUUAUGUAAAUUAAACGACUUCAAAAAAGACGAUAAGAUUGCUUUUGGAGUAGAAGUACCUACCAAAUAAUGAAAUUCGAGUUAUUAGCCUUUUAGAAACACUACAAAAGAUAUUUAUUCAUUACACACUGAUUAUUACAUACGGAUUUAGAUCCGUAUAUAAUUAUGGAUUUAUAUACGGAUAUUACAUACGGAUAAAAAUCAGUCACUAAAUUGUUUAUACAUACUGAUUUUUCUGUAUGUAAAAGUAAAUAAAUUUUAUAAAAUAUAUCCGUAUAAAAAAUAUGUAUGUAACAAAGAACAUCUGUUGCAUACAGAUAUUUUAAAUUUAUUUAUUAAAAAAAUAAGUUUUAGAAGUUUUGUCAUUUUUUCACUAAAACCCCAACGUUUGCCCCCAAAACCCGUGUGCCCUAAUUCUAUCUUCAGAAGUGGAGUGUGUGAAGCUCAAUCUUGAAGCAAAGGUGAAGCUCCGUCCGACCUUCUGAAAAAUACAAAGGUGAGUUUGUUCUUUAUCCUAAUAUCUGUUUGCAUGAUGUAUUUUGUGCCAACGAAUGGUAUGAAAAAGGAAGGCAAUGGUGGACACAUGAAUGACACUGUUUGGAAACCAUGAGUGCUGGCCUCCUUAUCUCUUUCCUUUUCGCAACCUUACUCACUCUCUCAUCCCCUUUUCUAUGUCACUGCCUCUCCUUAUAUUGAUGAAGAGUGAGAAGAAAAAAAAGAGUAGGUGAAGGUAGGUGGUGGGAAGUUGGGAGAGAAAUGAGGGAGUAGUGGAGAUUUUGGAAAGAGUGGGAGCAGGUGUAAGAGAGGCAGCAGGUGCAGAGUAAGUGGCGUGGAGAGUGUGGGUCAAAUGUUAGUAAUAUUUGACUGUCCCCAAACCCACAUUAUGGGAGCUUCAUGUACCAAACCACCCACACUUUGGAACUUUUGCUCCGUAAGACCAUAAAGGACCAUCUAAGUGGAGAAAAACUUGAUCUCCUUUUAGUGGGAUUCUUUACUUACAAUUGAUUAAUUCUACAUUGAACUCAUCAUCAACACUUAGAUUUUUACUUUUUCAAUUACUUGUUCCUAUAAUAUUAUUAAUUCUAAUCUAUGACAUUGCUUUCACAGAAUAGAGUUUCAUCUAAUUUCUUUGAAGGUUGUGUUUGUCCUAUCCCAUGUUUAUGCCUAUAAUAUUGCAUGUAUUGUUACUUACUUUUUACACAUAUAGACUUUGAGGAGCCAUGUUAAAUUUUCCAUUCUGUUAAAAUACCCGUGUUUUUUUGUUGCUCAUUUGCUUUUAUCAAACAAAACCAAUCCUUGGUCAUUCAUUAUAUGGAGGACAUAUAAGUUUUUGUUUUUUGUCUUUGGUCUUGAUAGAUGCUUUGUUUGAUUGUUAAUUUAUGCUAAGGAAAAUGAGAAAACAAUGGACAUUGAAUAGUAAUUGGAGGAGUUGGUGUUAAUGCAUGAUGCAGCUUUUGCAGAGAAUCUAAGGUCCAUCUGUGUGGGUGGAUAAGUGGGAAUUAGCACGCAGAGAACCUAACUAGUGUUCAUGGACAUCACUUUUAAACAAAGCACCCACAUGCCUCUUCUGUGAGACUACCACGUUUCCAUAUUGCAAGUCAUGUCCUUAUUUGGAAAGCUAAUCCAAAUACGUGUAAUCUCCUCGAAUAUGAAAGGGCAUAGACCAUAUUCUCUUUAAGCUAAAUACCUUUUUCCUUCCACAAGGGCCUAGGGCAGUUUCUUUGAAGCACCUUUUAGAGAUAACUCUAUUUAAUAUAUACAACAUCAUUGGUAGAAGAAGUACUUAUAAUUAGUGAAUCUAUAACUGCAAAAAGAUAAUAAUGUGGAUUAAACCCCUUGGAUUACCUAAUCUUGCCACUAUAUGUGGAUGAAGCACUCAUUCACUUUUCUAAGAGUAAAUUUAAUUCAAUGGAAAAUAGAACAAUUAUCACAAAACACAUAUUAUCACAAACACACAUGAAAUUACUUAUUAUCAUUAUACUACAUAAAGUUCAAAAUAACUUCAAUUCUAAACUACUCACCAAGAUUUUUACAAAAACGAAUGUGUUACAAACACAAUACACACUACAAGAAAACAGCCAAAUAGCUUCCAAAUUUCUGUGUGGGCCAUUUUCGGACGCUACUAUCGUCGGCCAAAAUGAGGAGAAACCCACGCAAAAAUGGCAAUGGAUGCAAAACGGACGCACUUAUGGAUUUAAUGUUUUUUUUUAAAACAAUCUAGUUUGCGUCGGCCCAGGCCCACGCAUAUGCGUCAGCAUGCGUCCCACGCAUAUGCGUCGGCCACGGCCCACGCAUAUGCGUCCGUCACAACCCACGCAAAGCCCACGCAUGUUUAUAUUUUAGGAUUUUAAAAUUAUUUAAUGUAUAACAAAUAUUUUAAUAUUUAAUUCUUUAUUUUAUUUAUUUUAAAAUUAUUUCUUUAAUAUUAUAAUAAAUUAUUUAAUUUAUCAAAUUUUAAUAUAAAUUAGUUAAAUUAAAAUUAUUAAAUUAAUUAAGCGUUUGAUUUAAAAUUAAUUUAGUAAAAGAAAAGAUCUAUUUAAAUUAUUUAAAUGUUAUAUAAAAUAUUUUAUUAUUUUAAAAAUUAUUUAUUUUAAACUUAUUUUAUUUAUAUAUUGUCAUAAAUAUAUAUUUUUUAAAUUAUGAUAUAAAUUAGUUAAAUUAAAUUUAUUAAAUUGAGGAAGUGUUUAAUUUUGAAAUUAUUUAAAUGAAGUUAUCUUAAAAAGUUUAUAAAGAUUUGAAAACAUGUAGAAAAAUAAUAAUUAAUUAAAAAAUAGUAAAAGAAAAGUAAAAAAAAAUGCGUAUUUAAAUUUUGUAAAUAUUAUAUAAAAUAUACAUAAAUUUAAGAAUAUAAAUUCAAGAUGAAGUAAUUAAUUAGUGCAAAUGGUAAUGGAUGUAUUUAAAAAUAGAGAAUAAAUUUUAUCUAAAAAUGUUUUAUUUGGUUUAAGAAAAAAAAGUUGGAUAAAACUUUUAAUUAGUAAUAUAACUUAAAUAAAUUUAAAUGUUAUAUGUGUGCAAUGGCUAAAUGAACUAGGAUUUUUUGUUUUGAUAUCCAUUAUAAUUUUAAAGAUGUUAUUUCUCAUAAAUGAAGCAUAAAAUCAUCUUAAAGAAUUAGCGAAAAUGUAUAUGAUACAAACAUAUUAAGACUAAGUGCGUGAGUAAGUAACUUAUUCUUAAUUCUUAAAUUAAUACAAUAUCCAAAGUGUUUCAAAGUUGACUAUAUGCUCUAUAAAUGUCAUUGUUAUAGUUACUAAGUAUGAUCUCUAAAAGAAAUUAAUGUUUUCCAACUGAAGCACAAAAUAAUGUAGUAAGUUGUAAGUAACGAGAUGACACAUAUGCAAUAUUCUUUAUAAGUGUGUUAAUAUAGUUUCCCAAUGUUCGCCUGAUAGCGAGAGUCGAGGGAGAAGCACGAAGACGAGAAGUACCCCAGUCAAGCACCCAACAACCUGCCCGACUGAGGGAAGAAGACGAAAACUUCAAUAGUUCUCUAGGUCCCAUCUCCCCAGCAGAAACAAAUUAAUAACCCUAGUCCAUUGUCAAGGUAAGAGUUAAACUAAGAAGUGCAUUAUAAAGGCUGAAAGAGAGUAUCAUAAGCAAUUUGAGAAAUAUGAGUCAUUUCGUGAUAGUUAUAGAAUUAACUUAGAAUCAUGGAAUAUAGUUGAUUAUUAGAUUUUGGAUUAUAAGUUAGAAAGGAUUAUAAGUUAGAUUUAACCACUAAACCAAGCAAAUUCUUUAGUAUUAUUAUAAUUUUAAUUAUACUUAUUAUUAUUAACAAUAUUAAUAAUAUUAACAAUAUUAUUAAUAUUAACAAUAUUAAUAAUAUUAAUUUUAAUAAUAUGAAUAUUAUUAAUAUUAAUACUAAUAAUAUUAAUAAUAUGUAUAAUAAUAUUAAUAAUAUUUAUAAUUAUAUUAAUAAUAUUUAUAAUUAUAUUAAUAAUAUUUAUAAUUAUAUUAAUAAUAUUUAUAAUUAUAUUAAUAAUAUUUAUAAUUAUAUUAAUAAUAUUUAUAAUUAUAUUAAUAAUAAUAUGACCAAAGAAUUUGUCUGGUCUAGUGGUUAAUGCUUCCCUAGUUACUGGAAGGACUUGAGUUUCGUGGCGUCAGAACCCAGAUUCUGCAUGUUGUGUCCGUUUUUUGCUUCCACGCUAAGUAUAUUUUUUUUUAUCUUUCUUUAGGUUGAUUGACUUGGUUCAUAAGAAUUAACAACAGAUCGAUUCUCAAAAUUGAAGGUGAAUGGAAUUUAAUCUUCAUUUUGGCAUAUUUUUAGUAUUAUAGUAAUUUGUAGCUAACUUGUUCACCCUGUUAUUAACAUGGACACUUCAAAUUUGUCUGUUGCAUUGAUUUAUAAUACUAGAACUUUGCUAGUUUGUAUAAUUGUAAAUGGUAUGAAAAGAAAACAUGAUAGGUACUGAAUCGUGAGACUACAUAAUACUGGUGUGAGACUGUAAAAUACUGUGUAUUUAUACUGUUGUAAUUUUGACUGGUGUAUACUGCUGUGUAUUGAAGUUUCUUGACUCUUUUGAGAAUAUAAAAAAGGCUCUCAAAGUUUAUUGUGGAGUUUUGCAUCUGAUCCAUGAUAACAAUUGCUCCCUCUAUCGAAUCCCUUUAUUUUCAUGAAAAAAAAAAUAAAAUAAAAAAAAUGAAAGUCUGUAAAUUUUGCAUUAGGUUUUCAACCUAUGCUAUAUAUGGACCUCUUUAUUGCAUUAUGGUGUGUGUAUGUUUAACUAAAUAAAAGAAUAAAAUAAAUCUUUACAAGGAACUGCAUAUUAAAUGUUGUUGGCAUGAACUUCUUUAGGUUUUUUGCUUUAAAGAAACUACAAUAAUAAAGCCAAGUAUAAUUUUUUUUAAUCUUCCUAGGUUGAUUGACUUGGUUCAUCAGUUGUUGGAUGAUCAGUUCUUCAUUUUGACAUAUUUUUAGUAUAGUAGUUAAUUUGUUUACCACCCCGGUUGUUAAUAUGGUCACUUUUAAUUUUAUCUGUAAUACAUUAUUUCUUUACUAGUUUGUAUAAUUGUAAAUAGUAUAAUUAAAGUUUUGCAUUAUGGUGUGUAAGGUUAUCUAAAUAAAGGAAUAAAAUAAAUUUAAAAUCUGACCACAGUUACAUACGGAUAUAUCUGUAUGUAAAUCUGAACACAGUUACAUAUAUUUGUAUGUAAAUCUGAACACAGUUACAUACAAAUAUAUCUGUAUGUAAGUCUGAUCACAGUUACAUACGGAUUUAUCCGUAUAUAACAAUUACCUACGAUAAUUUUAUAUACGAAUUUUUGUCCGUAUGUAACUAUGUUUUAUAUACAAAUUUAUUGAGUUACAUACGGAUUUGAGUUGUAUGUAAUACCAACUUUUCUUGUAGUGGAAGAAUCUCUUCUUUUACACAGUUGUUUAUUGUUACUGACUUUCCUUAAAAUUUAAGACAGUUUGUUGAUACUUGAACAAUUUAUUUAUUUACAGGUAUUGUUUAUGUUUAUGCGUUGUUUAUAUUAAUUUUAUUAUGUUUAGUUGUCUAUUUAAUCAAAUAUGCUCAUCUUUAUAUCUUAUAUAUUAAUAUUUGUUUUCUAAUUUUUUUAUUUUCUUAUUUACAUUUACAUUUAUAUAUAUAUAUAUAAUUAUAUAAAUUAUAUUUUUAUACAGAAAAGUGAAAGAAAACAAGCCAAAUAAAUUAACAAAACUUGGAAUGGAAUUGAAGAUUUUUUGUAUGUUAGAUUACUUCAAAGAAGACGAUAUGAUUGUUUUUGAAGCAGAGACUAACAUACCAAAUAAUGAAAUUCGAGUUAUUUUGCUUUAGGAUGAGCCAUUUUUUUACACAAUUGUUUAUUGUUACUUACUUUUCUCAAAAUUUGUGUCAGAUUGUUGAUACUUGAACAAUUUAUUUAUUUAUGUAUAUUAUUUGUGUUUAUGCAUUGUUUAUAUUAACUUUAGUAUGUUUAGUUUUUUUAUUUAUUGGCAUUUGCUGAUGUUUAUUUCUUAUAUAUUAAUAUUUGUUGUAUAAUUUUUUUUUCUCAUUUACAUUUACAUUUAUAUAUAUAAUUAUAUAAAUUGUAUUUUUAUACAAAAUAGUAAAUCAAAACGUGUCAAAUUAAUCAACAAAACAUGAUGCGCGAUGAAAGAAUUUGUGUAGGUUAAAUGAUUUCAAAGAAGACAAUAAGAUUAUUUUUGAAACAAAGGUUAACAUACUUAUAAUGAAAUUCGAGUUAUUCGACUUUUAGGAUGAGUCCUUUUUUACACAUAUGUUUAUUAUUACUUACUUUCCUAAAAAUUUGUGAGUUUGUUGAUACUUGAAGAAGUUAUCUAUUUACCUAUAUUAUUUAUCUUAAUGCAUUGUUUAUAUUAAUUUUAAUAUGUUUAUUUUUAUAUGCUAAUGUUUAUUUCUUAUAUAUUAAUAUUUGAUUUUUAAUUUUUUAUUUAGUUUCUUAUUUACAUUUAAAUUUAUAUAUAUAUAUAUAUAUUUAAUUAUAUAAAUUAUAUUUUUAUUCUAAACAAUGAAGAAAACGCACCAAAAAAAUCAACAAAACUUAGAAUGGGAUGUAAGAAUUUAUGUAUGUUAAAUGACUUUAAAGAAGACAAUAUAAUUAUUUUUUAAGCAAAUGUUAACAUACCAAAUAAUAAAAUUUGAUUUAUUCGUCUUUUAGGAUACAUCAUUUUUUACACAACUCUUUACUAUUACUUACUUUUCUCAAAAUUUGUGUCAGAUUAAUACUUGAAUAAUUUUAGUUACGUGCAUGAUUAUUUUUAAUGUAUUAUUUAUAUUAAUUUUUAUGAUAUUUAGUUUAUUUAUUUAUUAGAAUAUGUUUAUGUUGGUUUCUUAUAUAUUAAUAUUUGGUUUUUAAUUUUUUUAUUUUGCGUCUCUUUAUGUGUUUUAAAUUAUUAAUUAUUGUAAAAUUUAUUUUACUUUAUUUUUUAAUAUAUUGAUCUUAUCUAUUAUUAGUUUAUUAGUUUAUGUAAUUGUUAAUUAAUGUAAUUUUGACUUAUAAAUUAUGAUAGAACUCAUAUUAAGUUUCAGAAUGUCAAAAUUAAUAUUUUACGUUUUAGAAAAUCAAAUUUAAUUUAAUGUAAUAUAUGAAUUAAUUUUUCUAAAUUUAUUUAAUAUUAUAAUAUUAUUAUUUAAAUAUGAAAGUUUAGAAAAAAUAACCGUUUGUUGCACGGUCAAAGUUCUAGUAGAAAUACAAAUAGAGGGGCACGUGACGUCUCCUUUUGAUUACAGCUAAAUCCAGAAAUCUUUGAAGGGUCCCGGAAAAUGAUUCUUUCAUACUUCACCAGAUUCUUAACUGCUUUUCUAACGCACUCCAUAUGCCAUAAAGUGACACAAUAAUGUAAUCACCUUCCUUAUUAUCAUUUCAUUUAAUACAGUUUCUUACGCUGAUACAAGAUGGGGAUAUAGUUAUUACAACUACCAAACAUGAUGGCCCGAUCUAGAAAAUAAAGAUGAUGGGAACAUAAAUAUUUCACGUGGUGCAUAUUUAAUGUGGUUUAUAUUGUACGGAUUUGGAUUACUCUGCAUAAAAAUAUAGCAUUCUUAUUCAUGUGUAUUGAAUUCGAUUACAGUCUCUAAAAUUUUAAAAUCACCGACUCUCAAUUAAAUAACUAAGUUUAUUUUAUCUAUUAUAUUUAAGAUAACAGCUUUGACAUUUUUAAAUCUAAAACAUUUAAUUAACUCAAGAAUAUGUAAAUUUUUAAUUAGUAUAUUUUUUUAUGUAUUUUUUUAUAUAUAUUAAAAUCUAUACUAUAUUACUAGAACUAACUGAAAUGAAAUGGCGAAGAGACUCAACAGUAAAAAAAACUUGAAGAUGGUAAAUUGUUCAACUUAAAGCCAAAUUUUCCGAAAUGGCUGAAAAUAGAGACGAUACCCUUGGUAAUUUUUUACCAUGAUGGAGUUAUUUUUUCUUUUUUUACUAAAAUGGGGUCCGUUUUAAAAAAAUUACAAAUUUAGGCAAGUCGUGCCAAUUUGGUACGACUUCAUAUGCAGAAGUCGUCCCAAUUAGGUACGACUUUUGUCAUGUCAUACUAAAGUCGUGCCACUUGGCACGACUUCUGCCCUGUCAUACUAAAGUUGUGUCAACUUGGUACGACUUCUGCCUUGUCAUACUGAAGUCGUGCCCUAUCACUUCAUUCUCCACACCAUCAAAUUCCUUACACGUAUAACUUUUUACCUUCUCCUUCAGGUACUUUUUCCACUCCACCAAAUAUAUUUGGAACUUUGGCAUUCACCCCUCUUUCUGCAUAUAAUCCAACAUCAUUCAUGCACUAUCGACCCACAAUGCCCUCACCAACAUCUCAUAAUGAAGGCAAUAACAACGAUGAUGAACAUGUCGUUGAUGAUCCUCUUCCACGAAGACCUCGACAACAAAUACGAAGACCACAUUGUGUCACGUCUUCCCAUAAAUAAUUUACUUCUAGUUCAACUUUAUAGUUUUAUUUUAUAUCUUGUAAUGAAUCUUACUAAUUUGUUUAGUUCUAAUUAAUCUCUUCUCAUCAUUACGUGUUCUGUAAAAUCAUUAUUUCUCAAGCUAUUUAUUUUGCAAAUUCACAACAAUAAUUCUCUAUUUAUUUUCCAAAUACAAUAAAUUUUCAUUUAUGUAUUUAUUUCCAAAUUUAAUAACAAUUUUCUUCAUUUUUUAAUUAAUCAAAUAAUCAAGUUAUUGUAUUACAUUACCGUCAAACAUGAUUCAUACACGAUUAUCCCAUUUUUUGUUCCUUAAAACUAACACUCUUAGAAAAUUAUGUAUCAAAUUAAUUUUUAACAUUACAUAACUUACUACCCAAUAUAUAAAUAAUAAAAUUAAAAAAAAUUAUGACGUGGCAGAAGUCGUGCCAAGUUGGCACGACUUCAGUAUAACAUGGUUGAAGUCGUGCCAAGUUGACACGACUUUAGUAUGACAUGGCAGAAGUCGUGCCUAAUUAGGACGACUUCUGCAUAUGAAAUCGUACCGAAUUGACACAAUUUGCCUAAAUUUGUAAUUUUUUUUAAACGGACCCCAUUUUGGUAAAAACAAAAAAAAAAAUAACCCCAUCAUGGUCAAAAAACCUCAAAGGAUAACGUCAAGUUAAAUAUGUAAUAUGUAUGUAUGUCCUAACAUAUCCAACUCUCUUUUUAUUCGACCAUUUUUAUGUUAUGUAAUACAUUUAUUGUAUGUUGUAUCUCACCAAUCCUUCUGAAAAUUCUAUUGUGGUGUAAGAUUCGGUUUUCGUGCCUCUGACAUUGCCAUGCUUACUAAGUUAUCCUUCAUAAUUUGUCACAAUAUUGCUACUUAUCAAAGGAAAAGUUAUUUGAGCAAAAUACUUACUACUACAUGUCCUGUCUUUGAACUACUUUGAAUUUUUCAUAAACAACAACCUAACCAAACACGAUGCUUUAUAUCCUAUGUACUAUUUAUUUUUCUCAUUUUUAAAUAUAUCCCCUCUCUCACAUGCAUGAACUGACAGGUAUGUCAGGUGUAUUUUGAGGAGAACAAUUCAUCAGUAUCUUUGAUUGGAAGUCCGUUUAACAAAUGGGAUGACGCUUCGGAGGAAGAAUCGAAAGCCCAAAUAGAAGAUAGUGUUGGUGAAGGUUUUUCAGACUCCGAUUACUCAGAACAUGGUGGUAGGCAAGAAGAGAGAAGAGGAGAGGAGAUCGUUCAAUUUCCGACGGAAAAGAAGAGUUUCCAAAAGACGACGCAUGUAAUAGUGGGGGAAUUAAUUCUGUUGGGAAGAGCCAAAAUGUCACGUUGGAAAUGAGGAAAGAGAAAAUUUUUGUAUGGAAAACGUGUAAACCUAAUAAUUUUAUUACAAAAUAGAACAUAGAUAAAUAAAAGAGAACAAAAGAUGAACAAAAGAGUAAAAGGAAGGUAAAAAAUAUGAGAAUGAAUAUCUUUCUUUUCUUGUUAUUGAAAUCAAAACAAAUGGUCUGAAUAUAUACAAGUAGUACACUCAUUCUAGGUUUAACUAAAGAUGAAAAGAAUCAAUAAUUAAAUACUAGAAUCAUAACAAACAAAGACAAAAUAAAGGUUAUUCACCUCUAUAAAGAGAAACAACUGAUAAUUAGAAAAGAUACCCAAUUAAUAUUAAGAUUCUUCUAUAACUCUGGUAUCCGUAUCCUUUAAUACCCCGUCACAAGCUGGGGAGCAAAUAUUGAUGAGACCCAGCUUGGAACAAAUAUUCUUAAAAGAUUGAGGACUUAAAGCUUUGGUAUAAAUAUCAGCCAGUUGCUCUGUGGUGGAAAUGAGAAGCAAAUGAAUGAGACCCUUCUUUAAUUUUUCCCGGACCACGUGACAAUCUAUUUCUAUAUGUUUCGUACGCUCGUGAAACACUGGAUUUGCUGCAAUGUAUCUUGCUGAGUCAUUGUCACAGUAUAAAAGAGAUGGUUGCUCAAAAGGAACUUUGAAAUCUUGAAAAAGAUAAGUUAGCCAUUGAAUUUCACAUGUAACAGUGGUCAUUGCCUUGUAUUCAGCUUCACAAGAACUCUUUGAUAUUGUUCCUUGCUUCUUUGAUUUCCAAGAUAUGAGAGAAUUCCCAAGAUACACACUAAAACCAGUCACUGAUUGUCUUGAAUCACUACAGGUGCCCCAAUCACUAUCACAAAAGGCUUUCAGAUGAACAGAGGUAGUGGAAGAGAAAAAUAGACCAAGACUUGGAGCCCUUUGAUAUAUCUGAGAAUUCUAAUCGCUGCAUUAUAGUGAGCAAUUGUAGGCUUAGCAAGAAACUAAAAAGUUGUUGUACAAAAUUUUUUAUGUCAGGUCGGGUAUUAGUGAGAUACAUAAGUUUUCCAAUCAAUCUUCUGUAGGUUUGAAUAUAUGUGAAAGGAACACUUCCAGUAGAAGAGAAUUUCUCAUGAUUAUCAAUAGGAGUGGGUGUAGGUUUGCAGGCUAAAAGACCUGCAUAUGUUAAUAAUUCUAAUGCAUAUUUCCUUUGAUUUACCAUUAUUCCUGUCUUACCUUUUGCUACUUCUAGACCAAGAAAAUAUCUUAAAUUCCCAAGAUCUUUAAUCUUGAAUGUCUGAUUCAUGGCUUGUUUGAUUCGAGCAAUCUCUUCUUUAUCAUUUCCUGUCAAUAUUAUAUCAUCCACAUAUACCAAUAAUGCUGUAAAAGAUCCUUCAGAAUAAUUAAUGAACAAGGAAUGAUCAUUCAUAGAUUGAGUAUAUCCCAUAGAAAGCAAAAAUGAUGACAGUUUGGCAAAACCAUUAUCUACUGACUUGCUUAAGGCCAUGUAAAGCCUUUUUUAGUUUACAAACUUUUCCUGGUGGAAUAAAAGUCAUUCCAAGAGGAGCAACCAUGUAUACAUUUUCUUUUUCAAAUCUCCAUGUAAAAAGACAUUUUUAUGUCUAAUUGUUUCAAUUCCCAAUUAUAAAUAGAAGCUAAAGAAAGAAGCAACCUUAUGGUGGUCAUCUUUGCUACUGGAGAGAAAGUAUCAAGGUAGUCAAUGCCUUCUGUUUGUGUAUAUCCCUUUGCCACUAACCUUGCUUUAUACCUUUCAAUUGUCCCAUCAGCCUUAUAUUUUAUUUUGAAUACUCAUUUGCAACCUAUGGCACCUUUAUUCUUAGGCAGAAGAGCAGUCUCCCAAGUUUGAUUUGACUAUAAAGCAGAUAUCUCACAUUGUAUAACUUUUCUCCAACAUUCAUGUUUCACAGCUUCAUAAUAAGUGUUUGGCUCAACAUGUGAAGAAAGAGACAUAACAAAAGAUUUAUAAGGAGGUGAUAAAUUGCUAUAAGACAAAACAGAAUUAAAAGGAUAUUUAACUCUUGAAGAUGCACUGGAAACAUUAAGAUUACAAUGAUAAUCAAUACUCAGGUGGUCUUUUUAUUCUUGUGCUCAUUCGGAAAGAUGGAUCUGAUUUAGAACUUUGUUCUAUAUCAUGAUUUUCAUUGAGGUUUUGAUCUAUGUGGGAACAAUCUUCUUCUGAAACAUCAAUUUCUGACUCACAAUUAUUAUCACUGCUAUUUUCAACAUUAUCACAAGGUGUAUUAUCACAAGGUGCAAGAAUGGCUUGUGAUGACUGAUAUAAGACAGAUUGAUCUUCAGCAAACAAAAUUUGAUCAUUAAUGUCAGAACUGUUAGUUUCAUUGCUAGUAUCUUGAAUCCUUUGGUAUGGAAAAACAUGUUCAUAAAAGACAACAUCCCUAGACACAAAUUUCUCUUGAUUGAAUAUUCAACAAAAUAUAUCAUUUUGUCCCCCUUUGAAAACCAAUAAAAACACAUUUUGAUGCUCUUGGAUCAAAUUUUCUUCUAUUUGUUGACAAAGUGCUAGCAUAACAUAAAGAACCAAACACCUUUAAUCCAUUAAAAUUUGCAUCAGUUUUGAAAAGCAUUUCAUGAGGAGAAGAAUAGUUUAAAACAGGUGUGGAAAGCAUGUUUAUAAUAUGUGCAACAUGUAUCACAGAAUAUGACCAAUAAAUUUUGGGUAAAUGAGAUUGUAUCAUAAGAGCUCUUGCUACAUCUAAUAAAUGAUCAUGUUUCCUUUCAACUAUACUAUUUUUGUUGUGGAGUAUUGACACAUGAUGUUUGAUGUAUUAUUCCUUUACUGNNNNNNNNNNNNNNNNNNNNNNNNNNNNNNNNNNNNNNNNNNNNNNNNNNNNNNNNNNNNNNNNNNNNNNNNNNNNNNNNNNNNNNNNNNNNNNNNNNNNNNNNNNNNNNNNNNNCAGAUUUUUGUUUCAAAAGAAAAAUCCAUGUGUACCUCGAAUAGUCAUCAACUAUGGUCAAGAAAUAUUUAUGACCAUGAAUUGAUGGUAUUGAGUAUGGUCCCCAAAUAUCUACAUGAAUCAAAUCAAAACAUUUUUUUUUGCGAUUUAGAUGUACUAAUAGGAAAAGAAAGUAUUUUUUGCUUUGCAAAAUGACAAACAUCACAAACAAAAGAUUUGUUAUAUUUAACAUAAGGAAAUUUAUUCUUGAUAACAUUAAUACAUUUAUUUGAAAUAUGACCUAAUCGAAAAUGCCAAAGGGUUUCUAGAUCACUAGCACUAACAUUAACAGUAUUGAUGAUGUGUGUACAUUCAAGGGGUUUAAUUUGAAAUUUCCGGUGAGAUGGGAUCCUGAGUAUAUAAAGUCUAUCUUGCAUCUGAGCAGAACCAAUUAUUUUCAAGGAGUUUUUGUCUUGAAUGUGACAACCAUUAGAAUCAAAGGUAAGAACACAAGAUAGUCUAUCAAUCAGUUUUGUUACUAAAAGAAGAUUAAAAGUGAAGCAAGGAAUAUACAAAACAUUGUUUAUGACAUGAUCUUGAUUGAGAAAAACACUUCCAGAAUAAUUGGCAAUGACUUGGUUUCCAUUUGGUAAUUUGACAUAAAAAGGAUCAAUUUGAUGAUACGAAGUGAAGUAAGUUAAGGAUGAACAAAUGUGAUCAGUAGCACCACUAUCAAUAAUCCAAGAACUAAAAGAAGAAAUAAAGUUAUUACCAGUUUGUGUUGUCAUGAUGGAAGGAAUAACAAAGACUUGACUAGAAACAUUGUCACUGGAUUUGACCUGUUGUAAAAGAGCUAACAAUGUUUGAUACUGCUCAGGAGUAAAACCAAUUUGUUGAGACUCCACUUCUAACUUUGAACCUUCAUGAUUUUGCUCAUUAUUGUUAAAAUUUGUAUUGUGAAAGGCUGCAUGACUCUGAUGAUGGUUUUGAUUUUUAAAUUUGAAAUGAGGUGGAAAACCACGCUUUUUAUAGCAUGUAUCAAUGGUAUGCCCUGUCUUUCCACAAUAAAUGCAAAUUUUGGAAGUAUAUCCUCCUCCAUAGUUUCCUCUUCCAUAUCCACCACCCAUGCCAUAGGUCGUAGCAUUGUUAUUAUAACCUCCUUUGCUACUAGCAAUCAUUGCCUUGGAUUGAUCACCAAAAACUUGCCUCUAUUGUUGUGUAAUGAGAGAGUAAACUCUAUUCAAGGAUGAAUUAUCUUAUGAACUAACAUGGUAAGGUGAACAAAGAUCUUGUGAGGGAUCAACAACUUCACCCAUAGAUAAAUGUAGCAACCAAAGCUCUAAUCAGAGCUCUCUUUUCUUGUUAUUGAAAUCAAAACAAAUGGUUGAAUAUAUACAAGUAGUAUACUCAUUCUAGGUUUAACUAAAGAUGAAAAUAAUCAAUAAUUAAAUACUAGAAUCAGAACACACAAAGACAAAAUAAAGGUUAUUCACCUCUAUAAAGAGAAACAACUGAUAAUUAGAAAAGACAAUUAUUCUCCUCUAUAAAGAGAAACAAUUGAUAAUUAGAAAAGAUACCCAAUUAAUAUUAGGAUCCUUCUAUAACUCUGGUAUCUGUAUCCUUUAAUACAUUUCUUGGCAGAAAUUAAGUGCAAAAAGACUAAUGAUAGAGUAUGAGCAGAUGUCCUAAUUUGUAGUGGGUUGGUUUAGGCCUAACUGAAUGCAUACAGUUGGGUUAGGGAAACCCUAAUUUAUGACACAAUUGCUGACAUGGACUCACAACUAGAAAUUGUUAGACAAGGAGGAGCGACGAACUGGGUGGGAGACGACGCGGUUCCCCCUACGUCGCUGACGGUGGCUUACGACACUGGUUUCGAGGGCCUCGACAUCGACGAAGCCGACGCGGCUUCUCUUGCGCCGCCGGUAGCGGCUAAUGUAAUUGGUAUUGAGGAUCCCAACGCUGGUUAUACCUUGAAGUUGUCGGAGGCAGGCAGUGAGGGGCAACGAUUAUUGAUGGCGGUUGUCGAAGAUGCUAGAACAAUGAAGGAGGCAGGCGAUGGUGCAAUUAGUGACGGCCGUGGCGCGACUGUAGUGGCGAGCAAUGGCGAGAUUGGUGCUAGCAAUGACACGACUUCAGUGGUUGGAGAUGGCGCGACUAUAGUGUUUGGCAAUGGUGUCGGCGCGUCUGUAGGGGCGGAGCAGCGUGCGGCAGCGGCUGACGCUGUUAUGUAUGAUAGUUCCGGCAUGGGGCGCGGCAGUGGAGAGGAGGUGAGCGACGAAUGUGUGGUGGUAGUGGUGGCAAGGGUUACACAUGUUGAGGGAGAAGAAGGUGGGUUUGAUGACGAAAACAAAGGAUCUUUGGGGUGUGAGGCAAUCAGAGAAACAACAAGCGUGAUGGAGAGGAUGGGGUUAGUAUGGAGUAGAGAGGAUGAUGGAGCUGCAAAGACGUCCACUCAUAGGGGCACGAUAAGGGAGACUGAGACUUUUUUUUGCAAGUCACCCAGUGGGGAGGAUGAUGGCUAGUUUUGGCGGAAGGGUGGACGAUUUGCCUAAAUCGAGAGACGAAAGCUCACCGAGGAUUGAAAGGUUAUCUAUGUCAGAUUCACUAAAAUGCUUAAGAUCAGAAAUCAUUAUCUUAGACAAAGAUGCCAGAAAAUACAGUAGAAUGCUUUGGUUAAAAGAUGAGCAGGGCGAAGCUAGGAAGAGAUGGAAAGUUGGUAAGGAGAUGAGUUUCACACUGUUAAGUGAAGAAAAUGUGGUAUUAAAUAGGCUUAGCAGUUUGGAGAAUCGGGAUUGCAGGAAUUUGGAGAUGGAGAUUAAUGUUUUUUAUGAUGAGUCUAAUUAGUUUGAAUAUAAGAGGAGUAAGAGGAAAUAUAAAAAGAACAUACGUAAGAGAAUUAAUUAGAAAAGAGGAGGUUAGAAUGGUUUGUUUACAGGAAACAAAGUCCUUAGUGCUCAGUAAGAACAAUUGCUUUUAUAUGUGAGGUUCAAAUGAAAUUGAUUGGGUGGAGAAUGGUGCAGUAAAUAAUGUUGGUGGAAUCAUUACUAUGUGGAGAAGAAGUAGUUUUAAUAAGACAAGUUUUUUAAAUGGGAAAUGUUACUCUAUCAUCGAAGGAGUUUGGAAAGUAGGAGACGGGAUACACAUUACGAUAGUAAAUGUGUACAGUUCCAGCUCGUUGAAAGAAAGGAAGGAGGUUUGGGAUGAGUUACGAGAAAUCAGGAAGAACCAACAAAACAAGGUAUGGUGUGUUGUCGGGGAUUUUAAUUCAAUCAGAAGAAAAGAUGAGAGAAAAAGCGUAGUCUCAACAUCAGAUUAUAGUAGAGAGAUCAGGGAUUUUAAUGAUUUCAUUGAAAACACGGAGUUAUUGGAUAUUCCAAUGGUCGAAAAAAAGUUUACUUGGUAAAAGCCAAAUGGGACGGUCAAUAGCAGAAUUGACAGAAUUCUUGUCUCACCAGAAAGGUCUUUGAUCAUUGUGCUUUAGUUCUAAAAGUUUUAUCGGUGGAUUGGGGGCCUAAACCUUUCAGGAGUCUGGAUGUGUGGCAAAGGGAUAGUGGGUUCCUGGAUUUUGUUCGCAGUAAAUGGCAGAGCUAUGAGGUGUUUUGUGGAGGGAUGGUUGUUCUAAAAGAAAAAUUGAAAAAUUGAAAGCUAGAUUUGAAGAGGUGGAAUAGGGAGGUUUUCGAGAAUGUCAAUCGGGAAGGGGAAUCUAUACAAAAGAAGAUUCAAGAGUUGGACGCAAGAGACAAUGAAAGUGAGUUAGAUGAGCUGGGGAGGGAGGAGAGGGACUUUUGCUAGUGGAACAAAGUCGAAACCUUUUUACACAAGAAGCGGUCUUGCACCAAAAAGCAAGACUAAAGUGGUUGAAACAAGGCGAUCUAAACACUAAAUUUUUCCACUCCUCAGUGAAGUGGAGGAGAAUGAGAAACGGGAUCAACGGGGUACCUUAUGUGUUCAAUAUACACAAGGGAUUUACCCUACUCUUUCUUUUACUUUAAUAACUUACACAAUAUCCUUUAUUAUAUUACAUAAAUGCUCUGAUUAUAUCACAAAGUACUCCGAUUUAUAUCCAUGAUAUUCAGAUUAUAUGAAAGGAUACUAUGAUAUGUCACAUCAAAACCUGGAGAAACUAGUGUUAGAGAUCCAAGUCCAUGAAGGCUUAUAAAUAGAUGACCACUCAUAGGGAGUAAUCUCAACUCGAAUUUUGGCACUAUACUCACUAUAUAAACAAAAUUUGAUGCUCUUACUGAGUUGAGCGUCAGAGUAUUUUUUGCAGGUGGAGCCCCCCUCAUUCCUUGGAAGUUGAAUCACUAGAGCUUAAAGGGAGACUACCCGAAGCCCACUCAAAUUUAGAUUGACCUCAUCUCGGCGAGAACUGUAAUAGUCUAUCAUUUGAUUGAUAUUGAUGCGGUAUAAAAAUCAUUUAUAUUGAUUCCUCGCAUAUAAAAUUAUUAAGAGAGUCUCUUAAAUAUUGAUUCCUCGCAUAUUUAUAAAAAUUUCUUAUCAUUAUUAUUAGACGUUGAUAGCAAUUAACAUUUCAAAUCUAUUCCAAGUAUUCAAAUACGUUAAGCAUUAUCAUUUGGGUCAGAAACUUAGAAUUACUUUCCAGUCAUAAGAGUUUCAAAGAUGAACUUCAAUCCCAUUUUUCCCAAUUGAAGCAACAAACUCUUUGACUUGUGUUUUUUAAUCAUUGCAAUCAUAACAAACUCCCAACAAACUUUGUUAUUUUGUUUUCUAUUUAAUGAAUAUUUUACUUGAUUAUUCAAGUGUUCCUUGUGAGUUCGAUAUUCGUCCUUAAGGAUAAAUUAUUACUUCUGACAACACGGUGCACUUGUUGUAUCACAUAUUUAUAAAAACUUCUUAUCAUUACGAUUAGACGUUGAUAACAAUUAACAUUUCAAAUCUAUUCCCAACAUUCAAAAUAUGUUAAACAUUAUCAUUUGGGUCAGAAACUCAAGAGUAUUUUCCAGUCAAGAUCAAUCUAGAUCAUAGAAACAAACAUUACAAAUAAAAUGACAAUAACAAUCAUCAAUCAAGAACAAAAUAUUAUAUUUAAAUAUCAACUCAAUACAUAAGAGGAUGAAUUUCAAUCCCAAUUUUCAAAUUGAAGCAACAAAUUCUUGGACUUGUUUUCUAUUUAAUCAUUAUCAUCAUAACAAACUCCCAACAAACUUUGUUAUUUUGUUUUUUAUUUAGUGAAUCUUUUACUUAAUUAUUCAAUUGUUCCUUGUAGUUCUGAAAAUACAAUGCCCUUAUUAAAAUAGUUAUCACAUCUUGUCUCAAUACAUGGGGAUUGGGAGAAGCCAAUAGGAGAUCAUGUUUCCUCUUCAUACACAAAAGCUCCCCAACCACUUAUCACGAAGGAGGAAGUGGCUUUGUACUAAAUCUGCACCAGAUUUCACUCCUCCUCCAGAAGUCGGUCAAGGCCAACCCACUUCUUGUCACUGAACAAAACUCGUAGAUCAAAGAUCAAGAUGCGUUCUGCUUCAAUUCUGAAUUUGCGACACCCUUUGCAAGGAACAUAUCGAGUUAUUAACUUUGAAAGUCAAUAAAAAUAUUAUUUGCAGCAUUUUGAGUUAUUAACUUAUUAAUGACAAUAAAUAUGGAAGUUUUUGUUCAAUAAAAAAUUGAAACGUAAAAAAUGGGAAAAUAUGAUAUAGAAUUGUACCUUAAAUGGCUCUUCCAAUGUUAGACGACUUCUAGGCAAAUUUAAAACAAUGAUGUGCUUUGGAUUAAAUUUUGGUGGGAAAGACUUUGAAGGACACUCUUCCCAGUCAAGAAGUCUUAAAUAAUUUGGUAAAUGUUCAAGUUCAGAUGAAAAUUGUGUGUUUCGAACAAUGAGAAUUCUGAGACAUUCCAUCUUCACCAACUCAGUACCACUCCAUUCUACUUUUUCUCGUUGAGGGGGAUCAAGCAUAAACCCUUGAAUCAUAUCACUUCCCUUUAACACAAGUACAAAGAAGCAACAUCAACUGCCUAUUAUCAGUAAUAUAAAAUACUAUAAUCUAUAAAUAAAAAACAAAAUAGAAUAAAAGAGUAGAGGAUUACGUAAUCUUUUGUUAGUAUUUCAAUAGCAUCUUCAUAAUACCAUAUUCUGCUACGUUUAGCAGGAUUUGGUGAUUCCUGCUUAACAAUCUCUCUACCCAUAUCUUGUAUUAGAUCAUGCAUCUUCAGGCAGCCAUUCUCGACAGUUAUGAGAGAUUUAUUAAGAAGUAAUUUCAUGUUGGUUGUUGGACAAAAUUCUUGAAGUAUCUUUUUCACAUAUUCCAUUCUCUCCCCUUUAAAGAAGCAAGCUAUGUCCAAGAAAAUUUGUUGGGCAUUAUCAUCCAAUCUAUCGUAGCUUAUUUGAAGCACAUCUUGAAUCUUUGUAUUUGGAGUCUUCUCAUAUUCUUUCAUUGCCAUUUCCCAAUCUUCUAAACUUUCAUGAAAAGCAGCUAAAUCAGAGCCUAUGACUUUUAAAGCCAGUGGAAGACCUUUGGCGUAAUCUACAGCACGCACAGACACAUCUUCAAAACCUGUUUUAGGAUAACUUUGUCUGAAGGCAUUCCAACAAAAUAGCUGUAAAGAAUGUUGGUCAUCAAGUUCCUUCAUUUCAUACGUAGGUUUAACUUGGUGAGCAAUUAGCACAUUUUCUUCCCUUGUGGUUAUAAUGAUCCUACUACCUGGACCAAACCAAUUACACUCUCCUGCCAACUUUUCUAACUGGUCUUUAUCACCAACGUCAUCAAGAACCAAAAGAACUUUCUUUUUCUGAAGCUUUUCUUUUAUUUCACCCAUUCCUUUAAUUGUACUUUCCAAUUUAGUUUCCAACUCCUCAAACAUCUUAGAUAAAAGUGUCUUUUGUAGAUCUUCCAUGCCAUUGAUUCUGUUUGAUUUUUCUCUAACAUCGGAAAGAAAACUUGCUGCAUCAAAGUGUUGCACAAUUUUGUCAUACAAAGCUUUGGCAAGUUCCGUUUUUCCAAUUCCACCAAGUCCAUAUAUGCCCAACAUAUUUACAGUUUUAUCAUCAGGCUUCAUGUCUAAAAGUGACAUAACUUCUUCUAUGCAAGCCUCAAGUCCAAUAGGGUUUUGACCACUAUAUAAAGGUUUAGGAAUUAUAUAUUCAUGGACCUUCUCAACAAUUUCUUCAAUACAAUAGCUUUCAUCAUCCCUAUAAGAGUAGAAUGUAUUAAUUAAUUAUUUGUUUGAUAUCAUGAUUUUUUUUAUUGUACUAAGUGGUGAUUAUUGUACUAGAUUUUUUUUUAUCGGCAAUAAAAAAUAAAUAAAAUAAAAAUAGAACCACUUCAGGGGUGGUUUAACCCUUAUACAUAAAAAAGCUAAACCAGCUCCAACUAACGUCUUCCAAAAACCAACCCAACUCUUCUACCCCUUACAAAACCAAGCAAAAAACCUCAAGAAACUAACCUUGUACACUCCAAAGGAGCCAAACACCAGAAUAAGAAAACGAAACUAACCGGGAAUUUGUUGAAACCCAAGACCAAGCCUUUACCUGUGCCAACGCAAAGAGCUCUUUCUCGUCUGCCACUCCUCUAUUAAAAAUUAUACGAUUCCUGUGGCUCCAAAUCUCACUUAUCACCCCAACCCAAAUCGUGUUCCAAGCAACCAGACCCGUCUCCGAAGGUAAGCACAAUCUAAAUUGAUCAAAGUUGCACCUUGGUUCAAUAUGAGUCACAAACUGGAUUCCUAGCCACUUAAAACAUAAACACCAAACUCGCCAAGCAAACGAACAACCAAAGAACAGAUGGCUACUCGACUCCUCCUCCUUCCCGCACAACACGCACCUCAAGCUUUCUAAUCGAACCCCUCUUCUACUAAGAUUGACCCUGGUAGCUAGCUUGUUUUUCAACACCCUCCAAGCCAAAACCAUUGCAGAAGGAAUUGCUUUACUCCUCCACAACUUCCUAAGCUCCUGCGAAGAAACCGCUUCAAAAUCCUUCCUGAUAAGGUUGUAAGCAGAGCUAACGGUGUAAGACUGAACACCCCCACCCUUCCAAAUCCACCUAUCAGUCUCUCCAAGAACAACCUCAACCCCAAGCAGGAGCUGACUUAAUCGAUCCGCCGCCGGUUUCUCCCAUUCGAAAAAAGGCCUUCUCCAAUCAAGUCCCUAGACCCAUCUCCCAUCAGACCAAGACCCAAGAUCCGACAGUUUUGCAUGUUUGUUAGAGCUGAUUGAGAAAAGUCGUGGAAAAACAUUCUUCAACGCCUCACCCAUCAACUAGCUAUCCUUCCAGAAACAAAUGUCCAUCCCAUUCCCAAUCUUCCACUCAAAACUGUCUUCGAAACAUCUCCCCCACCCCUUCGAAUACCAAACUUCCUUCAAAUCCUUCCACCAAAGAGAACAACUCUUACCAUUACUUGCCACCCCCAGAUCUCUCCACCCCCCGUACUUAGAGAAAAUGAUGUCCUUCCAAAGUCCUACCUCAACCGAACCCAACCUCCAAAUCCACUUUCCCAACAAAGCCCCCCAAACUCACGAGGUUUACACACCAGGUUNNNNNNNNNNNNNNNNNNNNNNNNNNNNNNNNNNNNNNNNNNNNNNNNNNNNNNNNNNNNNNNNNNNNNNNNNNNNNNNNNNNNNNNNNNNNNNNNNNNNAGAAAAUCCCUUUGCAACUUGAUCAACUUACUUGCCACCCUAGUAGGCAAUCUGAACAAAGACAUAUAAAAUAACGGAAUAGCAGAAAGCACAAACCUAAUCAGACAAAUCCUCCCAGCCAUCAACAAACUUCUUCCCUUCCACCUGCUUAACCUAGCCUGCACUUUCUCAAUCACCCUGUUCCAAAACGUACCGCACUUGUGACUCCCUCCAACAGGCAGACCCAAGUAAAUGAACGGAGGGGCCAUCGUAUCACACCCAAGAAUCGCUGCAAAUCUCUGAAGUGUGGCCUGGUCCAUCCCCGUCCCUCCAAUCCUACUCUUCGCAAAAUUAACCCUUAACCCAGAAGAUAGCUCGAAACACUACAGGAUCGCCCUGAUAUUAAAGACACUUUUGGUAUUUGCUUCACAGAAGAACAAAGUGGCGUCCGCAUACUGUAACAUAUUUACCUUUACUUUACUCUUCCCAACCUCCAAACUGUCAAUCAACUUCUUUUCCUCUGCUACCCUUGUCACCCCAGCUAAACCCUCCGCCACAAUAAGGAAGAGAAAAGGGGCAAGCGGGUCGCCUUGACGUAGACCCUUUCUAGGAAAGAACUCCCUAGUUGGGCUUCCGUUUACAAGGACCGACACCGAAACUGACUCCAGGCAUCCCUUUAUCCAUCGAAUCCACCGAGCACAGAAACCCAACCUUCUUAACAUAUAAUAUAAAAAUUCCCAUUUCACCGAAUCGUAUGCCUUCUCGUAGUCGACUUUAAAGCAGAUACUUUGUUUUCUCUUUCUCUUGUACUCCUCAAGAANNNNNNNNNNNNNNNNNNNNNNNNNNNNNNNNNNNNNNNNNNNNNNNNNNNNNNNNNNNNNNNNNNNNNNNNNNNNNNNNNNNNNNNNNNNNNNNNNNNNUUCCAAUCACCUUUUUCAGGCGCAAGGAGAGCGCCUUUGAGAUGAUCUUAUACAGGCAACCUACUAAUGAGAUAGGUCUAAACUCCCCCAACUGUUGAGGAUUUUCAACUUUUGGAAUCAAACAAAGAAACGACGCAUUUGAUACUCUUGGCCAACAUCCAAAAUCAGCAAAGUCCUUUACUGCGUUCAUCACAUCCUUCUUCACAAUGUCCCAACAAGAUUUUAAAAAACAAAAGUUAAACCCGUCGGGACCAAGACUUUUUGAACUAUCACACCCCCAGAUCGCAUCUCUUACCUCAUCUUCCGAGAAAACGCUGACUAACAUAGCGUUAUCUGCUUCUGAUAUGGUAUUGAACCUGACAUUAUCCAAAGUGACCUGACAAACAUCGUUCCGGGCAAACCUUUCUUCAAAGUACUUACGAACCUUAUCCUUUACCUCCUCCUUAUCAUCACACCAUUUAUUAUUGUCGAAAAAUCCAUGUAACUGAUUCCUUGCCCUCCUCCACUUAACCGCAGAAUGAAAGAACUUUGUAUUAUGAUCCCCCUGCUUUAUCCAAUUCUGCUUUGCUUUCUAAAAUAAGAUCGCCUCUUGUUUGGAUCUGGACUCAGAUAGUUGAGCAAAUAGGGACUUUCUUUCAUCCUUUUCUGAUUCCAACAACCCGUCUUCGUCGUCACGAGAAUCUAACUCGUCUAACCUUUUCUAGAUUUCCUUACUAGCCUGAUCUCCGAAUACUUCCCUAUUCCACACCUUUAGGUCUGCUUUUAACUUUUUCAGCUUCUCUUUAAACACAAAAAUUCCCCCUCCCGUCACCUUGUAAGCAGACCAGCUCGAACUCACAAACUCCUUGAACCUGUGAUCCUUCAGCCAAACAUUCAAAAACCUAAACGGCUUCGGACCCCAAUCCACUGACACCUCCUUCAGAAUAACAGCACAAUGAUCUGAGAUUGAUCUAUUGAAGACAAAUUGUUGGCUGUUAGGCCACACCUCCAACCACUCCUUGGAGACCAGCACCCUGUCAAUCCUGCUUUUCACCAAACCAUUGGGUUUGAACCAAGUAAACUUCCUGCCCACCAACGGAAUAUCAACCAAUCCGAGCACGACACCAAACUCUUCCUUUCCUCCUGCCUUCUUAUACAAUUAAAGUCUCCAAUGAUGCACCAAGCCUUCGAUAACUGACCUUGUCUGAAACAACUGAUCUCGUUCCACAUCUCCUUCUUCUCUCGAAAAGAUCCUGAACAAUAAAUGUUCACGAUGGUUACUUGGGUUCCAAAACCCCUCUUCCAAACCCCUUCUAACACUGAAAAGUUCCUACCAUUCUUGAAACUGGACAACUGAAAAACCUUAUUGCUCCACAUCGUAAUCACCCUACCUGCUUUAUUAACUGCUUUGUUUUCCACCCAAUCCACUUCGUUAGUUCCCCAAAAAAGACACACCUUUUCCCUACUAAAAUCUGAACACUUUGUCUCUUGUAAACACGCCAUGUUCACCUGCUCCCUACUGAUCAAAUCCCUGACAUAAUUCUUUUUUACCGCCCCGCCUACCCCUCUGAUAUUCAGACUAAGAAUCUUCAUUAACAACCUUGCUCCUCUCUUUCCACAUUCUUCUCGUAGUCACCCCGCCUUGAUUAGAUAACGAAUAAAUACCAUCUAAAACUACCUCUUCUCGAUCGGCGAGCGAAAACCCAGCUUCUUUCCCUACUCCCCAGACACUUGCAGCCAAAUUCUUAUCUGUUUUCACCCAAAAAAUCAUGUUACAAUUCUCAAUUGCGCUAUCAGAAGUGAAAAGUGAAUUCGACGAGCUGCCUGUUUGAUGAACCAAAAACACUUGUUCCACUGAGGACUGUCUUCCUACGACUUCUCCAUCCAAACCCGUCACCCUGCCCUCCGUAUCUCCGUUGUUGCCUCCACCUUCCACUUCAUCUUCCAUACCUGCCCCCAAAUCCUCUAAUAGUCCUCCUGGAGGGAGGGCACACCCACCAUCUCUCGACUUUGACAUCUCUGACCUCCUUGCCCCCUCUGCAUCGACCAACUUUUCAGGAUCUACCAGUUCACUGUCAUUCAAACCUUGGACUACUGGAGACUUUGGGAUGUCCUUUACAGUUGCUACUGAACUCCCGUCGACUCCGUCUCUAAUCACACUGGUCCCAGACUGUUCCAAAUCAUUCAAAGAAGGACAUAUCCCUACCGAAUUAGCGACCCUACUCACUGAACUCGUCUGUCUUGAGACGCUCCCGACUUCUCCUUCUUCUUCUUCGUGACAACCAUCCUGGACACUCAAAUUCUCUUUGCACGGCUUCAUAAAUGCACUUUGGCACUUUAAAUCCCCCACCACUCCUUUCACACUUAGAACUCCAUUUUCCACGCACUUAAUCAUAGGGGGACACACUUUUAAAGAAGCGAGCCCACCAUCAUUAAUUUCCUGCAUUCCUACUUCUUGAAAUGGCUCUUGAGGUGGCGCUUGAAAAGACGCUCCAGCCCUCACAUUCCCUCUCAACAUGCACCUACUUUCACUUACCCCUCCAUUACUCCUUGCCUUAUCAUUCGCUGACUUGGACUCCUUGGAACUAGCCACCUCCACGUAGGAAUCCACUAUCUCUAUCUUUGAACAGCUAAGAGAACCGUGCCCACCCACUAACUCCACUCUCUUUCUCAAAGAAAUACCGUGCACAUUCAUUGGCCCUCUUAAAUUAUCUUGAAACCAUCCUUCACGCCCCUUACCAAGACAAACCGGGUCCACCAUGCCCUGGACCGUCUCUUCCAACUCCAAGCCUCCUUCCCCGACGGCACCCACACCUCCAUCUCCGGCCAACCCAAGCUCCGACCCCACUGAAUCGCACAAGCUUGCACCUACGCUUCCGUCAUCGGAGUUAGCUUCGGUGUCUACCUCUAAAGCUCCGCCAUUCCACUUGCCAAGACUCUGCUCCGGGACGGACAUCUCUUCAACAAAGGCAACCUUACAUGACCUACCAUUGAUGCACAACUCCUUCUCCAUAUUGACUGUUGAUCUUACCGAUGUUUUAACUCUAAACCGAGCAAACUCCACUGUUUCUCUUCUCUCAGUUACUUCGUCGACCUCCAUCACCUCUCCCACCACUACCCCUAUUUUGGAAAAACUAUGUUUGCACCAGAACUGUAGCGGGAUUCCACUGCAUCGUAUCCAUGCAAAACGUUCUUUUAGUUCGAAAGAACCAUCCCAGGGUGUAACCGCCGAGAACGCUUCGUCGAACCAAGACCUGUUGUCUGCAAUGAUCUUCUUCAGACUUCCUCCAUCAUCGCAAGACAGCAGAACGAACCUACCACCAAGAUAUCUUACUUUGACUAGGCUGAAACCUCCCAACACAAAGCUCUCCUUAAUCACUUGCAUGCUUGGAAGCUCUUUCAAACUACCAACGUAGCAUCUACUAACCAAUCGUCUUGUUCUACCUCCACUGUAACCUGAGAAUCAACGUCGCCCCCCAAAGAGCUACCCACAAUCUCGCCUGUUCCAAGCUUUCCUGCCCCCCCCCCCCCCCCGAAACCACUUGAGCGAACGAAACCUGCUCCGUUUGCUUCCCCUUCCCACUCGUUGUGCUCGUCAUUGGGUUCCUCCCUAAUCUGGACCCUUCAUUCCUUUGCUUCCUUGAACCAUCCUUCCUCUUAUAUUUGGGAAGGUUCACCUGCAUCUUCCAAGUGCCAAUCCAGAGUGCACUCAAUUCUCUUUCCAGGGAAAGAACAUCCUUCACACCCUGGAACCUUACAAAACCAAACUUCUUAUUCCUUGCAUUGAGCUUUCUUGAAACAAAGACAUCCAUAACCCUUCCCCACCUUUGGAAAACCUUCCAAAGAUCUCUCUCCAUGAAAUGCUCGGGGAAGUUAGUAAAGAAAAACGAAGUGUCCGCCAUUGUCGAAAGUUAACAAACCGCCUUUACUUACUCCGACCAUCGUGUUUCUCCGGUUACUAUUUUAUUGUACUAGAUAGUAAGCAAUGAUACUAAUAGCAAGUAGCACAAAAGAACAAUGAUUACACAUUAUACAAAAUUUACUGGAGAUGAAAAAGUUAGAGAAAUUUUAUUCUAAACAAAAAAUUCAAUAAUUUAUAAAGAAAAAUACCUAAAUAUAAUAUAAUAUUCAAAUAAAGAAUGAUUUUUUCCACUUUGGAUUUUUAUUAGUUUUUUAUCUUUUAAAUUAUACUUUUUAAUAUCCAGAAUUAUACUUUGUGACUAACAAAAUCAAUUAACACCCUGAAAAAAAUCUAAAGUUUAAGAUGUAGAAUAUUAUAUAUAACAAACUACACAUGAUAAAAACAAUAUUGCAUCCCAUUAUAAUUAAGAUGUAGAAUAUUAUAUAUAACAAACUACACGUGAUAAAAAUAAUAUUGCAUACCAUAAAGUAUAUUACUUGAAAUCAUUUUUGUUUGUGAAAAGUAAAGUCCUACAUAAGAUUAACUUAUUUUUGGUUUUUAACCUUUUAUAAAAGGCUAUAAUUAUUUUUUAACUAAAUUAAUUUAUUUUUGGAUGAGAGAAAAAUUAAGAGAGGAAAAAUAUUUUUUCUUUUAAAUUUUCUUACCAAUUGUAUUUUUUUUAUAAGAGAAGUAAAGUCUUACAUCUUAAUAGAUGAUAUAUGUGGAUGAUAAGUUAGUAAUAGUUUCCAACAAAGUUCGAAUAUGAGAAUUGAAGGGCAUUUGAUAAUAAGAAUUUAAGAUCAACAAUCUAAGAUUUUAGAAAUACUCACCAAUAUAGAAAAGAGAAAUGUUUUACUUCCUUAGAAUAAAAUAUUUCAAUCAACAACAUAAAAAAUUUAUGAUAAGAGGUAAAGCAAUACUCACCUGGGAGCAUGGUGCUUAGAAAAUCUAAGGAGGUGUUGAAGGAACCCAAGAGAACAACAUGGUACUCAUUGAGAAAAUAUUGUUAGAGUUUAUGGUGUUCAAUAAACACAAUUGAUGAUGGAAGUGAGAAACAACGAAAGAAAGACAAUCGAGACUCUCUAUGCUCUGUGUGAAAGAACCCAUUACAACAACGUUCAUUGAGGUAACAACUCAUACCAUUAACAACUUUCCAUUUGACUUUGCUAUUAAUAAUAGCAAUAGACUCUUUUGCUUACGAAAUGGAAGUGCAGAGGAUAUUAGGUUAUGUGAAUUAGGUUAGGAAAUCAGAAUUACAUUUAUAGGGUAGGAUGAAAAUAUCUUAAAGAUGAUUGAGAAAAUGAAGGGAAGAGACUGCGAAAUGAAAAUAUUAAAGGGAGAGAAGAGACAAUCCAAUUGAUGAAGAUAAUAUGUUUAAACAUUGUAGGGGAAUUGAUUAAUAAGGAGGAGGGUGGGGUAGUGUGCUAACAAGAAACCAAAUUGGAAAUAGUCAAUAAAGAAAGAUGCUACAAUAUGGGAAACGAUGACAUAAAAUGGGAACAUUUUGCAGUUGUAAAUGGAGUACAAGGAAUUUUAACUAUGUGGCCUAAGGAUACUUUCAUAUGUGAAACAUUGGUUAGAAACACAAGUUUUGUAAGGGUUAAGGAAAGGUACAAAAAGAAUAAUAUGUCAAUAGUAAUACUAAAUGUGUAGUUCCCUUAGAGAAAUGUUAGAGAAAUGUGACUAAAUUAUGUCUUGAAGCAAAAUGAACUUUUUUAUCUUUAACAAGUUUUACGUCCAAUUAUGAUAGAUAUUGAUUUGCGCUCAAAUUUUUUUUUUAGAUUCGUGGGUAAUUAUUUAUGGACACAAAUAUGUCAGUAAAUGUCUAACAUUAUCUAUUGGUACAAUUCGUCGAUAAUAAAAUAAUAUCGACGAACAUAAAUCUGUCAAUAAAUUUUCAUUAGUAAUUCAAUAAUUUUUUGUAGUAGGUGGUUUUAAGAGAAAAAUUAAAAAGAUUUAAGCAUGACUUAAAAGUUUGGAAUAAAGAGGAAUUUGGUAAUGUAAACCAAAUCAAGCAAACCACUAUAACUCAUAGAGGUGAUUUUGACAAAAUGGAUUACUCAAAUGAUCUAUAUGAGAAAGGAAUGAUGGAAAGGAAGAAACUCUUUAGUGAACUCAAACUCAUAGACUAGCAACAUAAGUCCUUGGAGAAAUAAAUUCAAUGUUAGGCUAAUGAACAUUAUCUUCUAUUUCUCCUAGUGAUAAUAUAGUCCUAACAAGACAAAAUAGAAAUUAAGAAAGCACUAGGCAUGUUGUGUGGAAUAUGUGCAACAAGUAUGUUGGAGUAAGUACUGCUACUCAAAAUCAUGUAAAGUUGAACUUUCAACAAUUCUACUUGUCGAGAAUGAAUGACAAAGGAAAUAGGAUAUGGGGGUGUAUGUGGAUAGAGAUCUUUUUUUUGGAUUAUAUAGAAUCAAAGGAAUAAAAAUAUCUUUAAGAAUGAGACCGUAUAUGAAGAGAUAUUUUUUUUACACAAAUAAAAGUAUAAGCUUGGACAAGGAAUAGAUCUUUAUCAACUUUCACAUAAAACCCCUAUAUAAAUAAUAUGGUAUACUCGCACAAUGGGCAUAUGCAAUUGUUAUCAAUUAUAAGUUUUUUUCAAGUUUGAGUCACUAAGAGUUGAGAUUUAUCGAGUACCAUAGACAUCAACGAUGUAAAACCUUAUGUACGACAUAUGUAAAAAAACUAAACUUUAAAUAAGGAGUGACAACAAUUAGUAUAGGUUUAUGGUAAAUUCUGAUACUGAGAUGUGAAGUGUUAUUAAGAGGAUCCUUAGAUACUUCAGAGGAACCUCAGACAUUGUAUUAUGUUUUGAAAUAUCAGAAUUAGAUAUGAUCUUUAUUAAAUGAAGUCUAUUAGUGACUAUGUGUGUAUACUUAUAGGUGGAGCAAUAUGUUAAUUAUUCAAGUUGGAUGAUUUUAUAAUUUUGUCUAGUACAUAAAUUGAAAACAUAAAAGGCAUCCAAGCAUACAUGAAAGCUAUCUAAAUUCAAAGGUAUACAUGAAAGCUAUCUAAAUUCAAAGGUUAAUUGAUGAACUAAGACAUAAAGCAACAAAAAAAAAAAUAUUCUAAUAGUGAAAAUGCAUUUACACAUAACAAUAAUAGUGAAAAUGUAUUCUAUUCGAUAGAUAAUAUACUAUUUUUUUAUUUUAGAUUUAUAAGGUGGUUAUAUUAUAAUUUUAUUUCUUUAAUUUUAUAAAGUUACUUUAUUAAUUUUAUUUUAGUUGUAAAUAAUUAUCCCAUAAAAUACAUGAUUUUUUCGAAAUAUGGGAUGAAAAAGAAAUAACAUUGAAUGGUUUGUUAUACAUACCCGGUGGUAAUAAUAUGCCUCCCUGGGAAGUCAAAAGCUUGAGACAAGGCUGACCUCCAAGCCUGCAUUUUCUGUGAUUCUUUUCCAAUCUCAUGUUCAUGUGCCUUCAUGUGUUUUCCGAAGCUGUUUCUCUCGUGCCGUAUAUCUGAGGGAUCUACAUGGUAAAACACUGGGUAAACAAGCUGCUUCUUCUCCUUCAUUUUGCUGCGUUCUAUGAUCCUAACAAGUUCAUCCAGACACCGUGUAGAAGAUGCAUAGUUCUCAGAAAACACAACGAUGAAAAUCUUAGAUUCUUCAAUGGCCUUCGACAGAGCAGGUGGAAGACUUUCCCCUAUCCUCAUAUUCCUAUCAUCAUUGAAACUUUUUAUUCCCCUCCUACCCAACUCUCUACGCAGAUGCCCUAUAAAAGUGUACCUUGUAUCUUCCCCUCUAAAACUGAUGAACAAGGAAAUUUGUUUGGCCUUAUCAUCCAAUUUAUCGUAGCUUAUUUUAAGCACAUCUUGAAUCUUUUUAUUUGGAGUCCUCUCAUAUUCUUCCAUUGCCAUUUCCCAAUCUUCUAAACUUUCAUGAAAAGUAGCUAAAUCAGAGCCUAUCCUUUUUAAAGCCAGUGGAAGACCUUUGGCGUAAUCUACAGCACGCAGAGACACAUCUUCAAAACCUGUUUUAGGAUAACUUUGUCUGAAGGCAUUCCAACAAAAUAGCUCUAAAGAAUGUAGGUCAUCAAGUUCCUUCAUUUCAUACAUAUUUUUAACUUGGUGAGAAAUUAGCACAUCUUUUUCCCUUGUCGUUAUAAUGAUUCUACUACCUGGACCAAACCAUUUACCCCCUCCUGCCAAAUUUUCUAACUGGUCUUUAUCACCAACGUCAUCAAGAACCAAAAGAACUUUCUUUUUCUGAAGCUUUUCUUCUAUUUCAGUCAUUCCUUUACUUGUACUUCCCAAUUCAGUUUCCAACUCCUCAAACAUCUCAGAUAAAAGUGUCUUUUGUAGAUCUUUAAUGCCAUUGAUUCUGCUUGAUUUUUCUCUAACAUCGGAAAGAAAACUUGCAGCAUCAAAGUGUUGCAAAAUUGUGUUAUACAAAGCUAUGGCAAGUUCCGUUUUUCCAAUUCCACCAAGUCCAUAUAUGCCCAACAUAUUUACAGUUUUAUCAUAAGGCUUCAUUUCCAAAAGGGACAUAACUUCUUCUAUGCAGGCGUCAAGUCCAAC
rnacentral:lncRNA from 1 species